GAAUCAGUGCCCGAGUGGUUAAUGGGGACGGAUUGUAAAUCCGUUGGCGCUGCCUUCGCCGGUUCGAAUCCGGCCUGAUUC
rnacentral:tRNA from 1 species